AUGGCUGGCCCUAAGCGAGGGAUAAAUAUGCUUUCCACUGCUCUAGUGGAAUUUGACAUGAGGAUCAAGGUAGGCAAGGAAGAAAGGCAUGACUGCCAGCUGAUCGAUGGUGUAUCAGACCUAGACGACCUGUGGAGCCCAUGGGACUGUGCACUCAAAUACCGCAUCAAUGGCGACUGUGGCACAGUUGAUUUAACCGUAUCACGUAUUGAUCAUGCAGUCAUGGCGAAUGUAGAAGUUGCCGUGUCAGAAGUGCGGAGCAGUUUUGAUCUGUGCUUCCGUUGUUUUAUCGGUGGUUAUGACGAAGAGAUUCGGCUCUUCAAUGGUACAAUUGGCGAGUCGCGUCAUUUAACGAGGUCUGUGGUCGCUGUGGUGGAUGGUUCCACUCUGGAUUUGAAGUUCGAGGUUGCCUCGGAGCCAUCCGGUUCAGCGGAGCACUGCUGCUCCUUCAAGGCGGGCACGCAUGGGCUUGAUACUCGAGAGAUGAAGACUGAAUUCGGGUUGAUCUCAGUGAAGGUGACUUGGUCGACUCUGCUCUCCAUCUAG
rnacentral:rRNA from 1 species